rnacentral:rRNA from 1 species
AUGGCGGGGGUGGGAGAGAUGGAUGUUGCCGGGACGACAAGGGAACCGGAGGUUCGGGCGGUAGUGAGCACCGUCGGCCACGGCGCCGAGCUACACGACCCCCCUGUAGUUGCAGCGGCGGACGAGAGCUACAUGUCAGACGAAGAAGUAAUGGAGUCUGAUACUGCAUUCAGCCAACGUUUCACAGCAAAACACUUGCGCGAAGUUGCGAAGAUAAAACUUAAUCCUAGCAAGAGGCGCUACAUAAAUGAAACUGCCUUCGGUGAUCUCACGAGCAUCUCGCCUUUCACAGUGCCACAUGAUCUGAUGGAAUGGUUAACAAUGAACAUUGACACUGACAGUCGUGAGCUCAGGCUGAGUCGGACUAAGGUCAUUGUGUUUACUCGAGACAUGGUGAAGAAGGUUUUCAAUAUCCCAUCAGGCAACAGACCAGUUGAGCUUUUCAAGAGACAUGAGCAUUGUGAGCUCCACAACAUUUAUCACAAGAAUGGCAGGGCUUCAAUUGCGCAUACAGUGGAUGUGCUUCAUCGAGCUAGGAAUGAUGAUGGCGAUACUACGAAGAGGUCAUGGGUGCUCUUAGCGCUUGCAACAGUUUUAAAUCCAAGCACUGGCAACAUGGUGCCACUAGAGUACUUGGAAAGCCUUGAAGAAAUGGACAAGGUUACUGAAUUUGCUUGGGAUGAACAUGUUUUAAGUGUUGCAAUGAGAGAGGUCAAGAAGUGCCAGGACAAGAUAAAAUCACAGGCUACUUCUUCAUUCUGGGUUGGGGGCUGCUUCCCUAUGCUCGCGCUGCCAUCAACGAGCACCAAUUGA